ACUAAGCAUAUCAAUAAGCGGAGGAAAAGAAACCAACAGGGAUUGCCUCAGUAACGGCGAGUGAAGCGGCAACAGCUCAAAUUUGAAAUCUGACCCCUUCGGGGCCCGAGUUGUAAUUUGUAGAGGAUGCUUCGGGUGCGGUGCCGGUCUAAGUUCCUUGGAACAGGACGUCAUAGAGGGUGAGAAUCCCGUAUGCGACCGGCGGCCAACCCCGUGUGAAGCCCCUUCGACGAGUCGAGUUGUUUGGGAAUGCAGCUCAAAAUGGGUGGUAAAUUUCAUCUAAAGCUAAAUAUCGGCCAGAGACCGAUAGCGCACAAGUAGAGUGAUCGAAAGAUGAAAAGCACUUUGGAAAGAGAGUCAAACAGUACGUGAAAUUGUUGAAAGGGAAGCGCUUGCAACCAGACCUGCCCGCGGGCGAUCAGCCGUUAUUCUUAGCGGUGCACUCGUCCGCGAUCAGGCCAGCAUCGGUUCGGGCGGCCGGAUAAAGGCCUCGGGAAUGUAGCUCCCCCCGGGGAGUCUUAUAGCCCGGGGUGCAAUGCGGCCAGCCCGGACCGAGGACCGCGCUUCGGCUAGGAUGCUGGCGUAAUGGUUGUAAGCGACCCGUCUUGAAACACGGACC
rnacentral:rRNA from 1 species